rnacentral:misc_RNA from 1 species
GAUAUAGUCCCCAUAAAUCAAUGUGGAUCAAAUCAAAGAUAGAGUUUGUGGUAAUUUUUCUUUUUUAGAAACUGAGUCUUUUUUGUUUGGCAAGUGGGCAUAUCUCACAUAUUUCAUGACUUUCGUGCUUUGGAGUAAUGGCUUUGAUGUGAGAUAGUUUGCUGUUUGAUAUGUGCCCAAGUCUGUAAUGCCACAAUUCAUAAGAAUUAGAUGAUGCAAAUGUUUGAUGAACUUCAUU